GGGCAUUUUCUCCAAUAUCAACUUCCUGCUUCUGAAAUUCAGGUUAAAACACUGACCUAAAUUACGGAAAUCACAAUCUCCUUCACCAUCACCAACAGUGCCACCAUCAUCAAAUCAUGAUCAGCAUCGACCAACACGAUGAUUCCCACUACCACUAUCACAUUAAUAGCACCACUACCAUCCUACCGUGCCCAGCGAGACAACUGCCAUCACGGUCACUAUGACCAACACCAUAUUACCACCGCUGCCACUAAUAUGCCUCAUUGCUAUGCCAAUAAUCACUAACAGCAUUACCACCACACUCCAACUAACCAAUGCUGCUGCCAUCAUUACUGCCAUGAUCUGUACUACCACCACUGCCACUAGUGCAAACAUCACCACUACUGCUGUUAAAGCAGCCACCACCACUGCACCCACUGUCGCCACUGUCCUUUCCACAUCCAGAUGAAGAAAGAAGAAGAGAUAGAAAGCAUAGUUUCAUUAUUCUAGGUCAUAUUCAAAGGUUGGUCACUAGAUAUAAUUGCACAUAUGUUCCCCUAGUUACUAUGGCAUCCCAAUAGCCAUCAAGUGGAACCAGACAUGGUAUCAUAGCAGAAUCCUGAGGUCUAAGGUCUAGUUUAAAUAAGACUUCUGAUCCAAGGUAGGGGUCCCUCAAUUACCUCUAUGACAGGAGGCAAAGAUGUCACACACGACUGCAUGUCAGCUAAACUCAUUGGAAGAUUCAUUUCUGCCUUCAUAAAUGUAGACACUGGGCUUCAGCUAGUUGUAAGGGAGCAGCCCCUGGUGCAAGCCACGUAGCAACUAGAGGGGCUUUAAAAUCAGCACAAAAUUAAGUUUUAUUGCUGCUUUGAGGAAUGUUCAGGUUGGUGGGAGGGGAUUACAGCAGACAAGUGUUUAAUUUACUCAACUAUAUGCUCAAGUUUAUGUAACUGAGCUAUUUUAAAAUUACAUUUUAUGUAUGCAUUGCUGUAUAUAUUGCACAUAUAUAAAUGUACAAUAAUAAUAAAGAGUGGCAUAUAUGAGUCUCAGGAAUUGUGCCAAAGGCUUUACAUAUACUCUCUUUAAUCCUUUUAACUCCUGUAUGAAAGGAGUGUGACUGUCAUUCUCAUUUUCCUAAUGAACAAACUGUGGCAUGAAGAGGUUAAAUAAUUAGCCUAAGCUUACAAAGCUAAUUAAUUGUAAGACUAAGAUCUAAACCCAGGUAGUCUGGUUCCAGGGCCCAUGAUCUUAACCAACACUCUACAUUUUAACACACUGUCUGCACAUUGUCUACACACAGAUGCAGUGUGUGUACAUCAGUUGUAUAAAUAUAUCAUCUUGCAUGAAGUAAUUUAAGGGAUGUUCAAGGAUAUUGUUGAUUAUAUGCAAUUUAUCUCAUGUGCUGAUUUUUAAGCCUAGUCCCAGAGGAAAUGCAAGUUCACUGAAAUCUAAGGGGGGAAAAAAGACACGAAAAACCAACAAGUGCAAAGCAGUGUGGUGCAGAAUGUGGUGGCAGAGCAACAACCACUCUCAGCAAAAUCCUCAUUAAUUCAUGCCAGUGUGUUCAAGUUCUUAGUGCGUCUCAAGAAAAAAUAUCUCAGGUUCGAAUUGCUGCAAAGUUUUUCAAGCACAUCCACCGAUAGCAAGACCCACUGGAGGCAGAUCAGCGAUGAGUCUGAGGGCGGCACAAAGGGUGCUACCAGUUCAAUCGAGGAUCUCACAUUGCACAUAGUUGUCCUGUAUCUACAGUCUCUGCUAAUCAAGGACAGCUCCUCAGUCUUCAGCACCUGGGCUUUUACAAAGAGCACUGCAAAGAAGCCAACUGCUGGUUCUCCACUCUGAAUGAUCAUCGCUUCCCAUUUGGAAGACAAAGAUGGUUACUGGCCUUGGCAUAUUAACCCUGGAGCUGCCUCCUCAGGAAGUGAAGAGUUGGGCUUGGCUGGCUGGUAUAGCAGCAGCGACAGCAGCAGAGACAGCAUGGCCUGCUCAGAAGGGGCGCCCUAGUUGCCAAGGAUGAGGGCACUGGCUUUGCACUCUUUGAGACUGGGGCUUUACCUAACAAACACUUGCAAAACUUAUUACCCCUCCAGUCCUCAAGUUUCCUUGUACCUAUAGAAUAGGAAUGUUAAAACUUACUUCACACAACUGUUUUGAGGAUGAAUUGGCUAUUUGAAAACUUGGGCACUGGAAGAAGUCCAGUGAAGGACAGUGUCACUUCCGCUGUUCACCCUUUCAUGCUUAAUUAACAUUUAAUUAAUCAAAUAUGUUGUUUCUUUUUGUAUUUUUUUAACUGAGAUAAAUGUAGAUUUACAUAUAGUUGUAGAAAUAAUACAGAAUUAUCCCGUGUAC
ensembl:lncRNA COPB2-DT COPB2 divergent transcript